rnacentral:ncRNA from 1 species
GAACUAUGCCUGGCCAGGACGAAGUCAGGGGAAACCCUGAUGGAGGUCCGAAACGAUUCUGACGUGCAAAUCGAUCGUCUGAGCUGGGUAUAGGGGCGAAAGACUAAUCGAACUAUCUAGUAGCUGGUUCCCUCCGAAGUUUCCCUCAGGAUAGCUGGCGCUCGGAGGUGGUACGAACGAACUCAACUGAGUCUCUUCCGGUAAAGCGAAUGAUUAGAGGCCUUGGGGCCGAAACGACCUCAACCUAUUCUCAAACUUUAAAUGGGUGAGAACCCCGGCUUGCUCGAGAU